UUUUCUAUAAGAAAUAAUAUAAUAAUAAAUAUCUAUAACUACUCAAAUGCGUUUCUCUUUUCACAGCUCAGAUAUCAUUGUAAGAUGCCGAGUGGUGGUAAUUUUCGCACAUAACUGUAAACAAAUUGACAUCUGUACAAGUAAAAUACAUGCAUUUGAUGGGGGUUUAUUACAAUUGGAUGAAAUCAGUUAUGCGAACAACGAAAAGGCGAUAAGUUAUUUAGGAGAACAAAAGUUUAUUAGGAGGAAAGAUAGAAGGAUGAAAGUUGUGCAUUUAUUCUUAUAUGUCUGAUUACUGAAUAA
rnacentral:lncRNA from 1 species